rnacentral:lncRNA from 1 species
AUCCGGGCUGUCUCAUGGGUACGAGUUCAGAAAGGAAAAGUUCUCUCUGAAGCCACCCCCUUCUUCUGGCAGGUGGGGUAGGACUUUGAGCUAAGCCGGGCUCUGUGUGUGUCUGUGGUGUUGUCGGGGAGGUUGGGAACCAGUGAGGAGCAGGAUCCCUCUGUUCCCAUCAAAGUUGCUCCUAUCAGAUCCUUCCUGCUCCUUGCCUGGGCUGUCUGGUGCCUGCAUCUUUCUCUAAACAGAAAGCUAAAUGGGGAUUCCUUGAGUCUGGACCUGGGAAGUUCUUGGGAAAGUGUCUGGCUCUCCUAUGGUCACAUCCGCCCCCCAUGGAAUCAGUCAGUCAGUCAACAAACACGGGAGGACCUGGAACUUGUGCCAGGUGGAAAAGAAGCUUCAGGUGCAUCUUUGCCCUCAAGAAAUCAGCACCUAGCUGGAGAAAAACAAGGUGUGCCAUGGAAAUCAAGAACUGGGAGGCCUCUGGGAGCAGCCCUUCCCCGUGGCACGGACAUCCUGGAAGGCCAAAAGUGCUGGGCGGGGCCUGCUCCUAGUCCUGGCAGCCGGAGCAGAGAGAAAGAGAAUCUGGGAUUCAUUGUGCGGUUGUUCCUAACUUCCUUCUGCUUUCGAGAUCCUCUUCUAAGGGAGAACAAUGCCCUGAACACCGAGGCCCAGGCUUCCUUGGCAAUAGCCCAGCGCUGGCGUUGGGGCAGAUGGGGUUUGACUCUGGACUCUGAGAAUCGCUGGGGACAGUGGGGUUUGGGGCUGGUUCGGGUCCCCGCUUGUGGAAAAAGUCCCCUUCACCCCCGUCUCAUGUAUACAAGUUCUUGUGGAACUGUCCCUGUUUGCCAAGGAAGGACAGUCCAGGGGCUACCAGGUUCUCAGGCAGCUGGGUGGAGGGGCCUGGAGCUGCCAGCUCCCUCAGGACCUCGGUCUGGAGCCAAGAGCCUGCUGCUGCCACACCCCCAGCCCAGGAGGACAGAGGAGGCUCCUGAGAACCUCUCCCUGGUGGAAGGGUCCUGCGCUGCAGCUGGUAUGUCCACAGCCAGGCUUGUAAGGCCAGCGGGGGGCAGGAGGCCUGUGUCCAGGGAGUGGGGUGGGGCUUCCUGCCCCUGCCUUCACACUUGGCCUUUCUUUGUAGAUUCCAGUACAUUGACCAGCCCUUCUAGACCCUUCAUCAUCAGAAAAAGAGUUGUGAAGUGAGGGACCCGCAUGCGGAGAGGAGAAGAGAGGCUACAGGGGAGGGUGACCAAGGUCCCAGCCUGUGGAGCCUCCUGGGAAGGAUGAGGUGGGAGUGGCAGGUGG